CUGUGUGCCUAGCGAAUUUUGACACUCUCUUUCUCCUAACACGUUUCAGGGCCUUCAUUUUCUCGAGUAUGCCGCAGGCUAUGUCGUGCUCUCUUAGAUCACACCUCCUACACGCCCCUCAUGGUCGCACAUGCUGCUACCUUCCUUGAUGGCCUCUUCGCCACCAGUGUGUGCCGCGACGGCUGUCGUCUCCAUGCCACCCAUCAGUAGCGGUGGCAACUCGACUCUUACCUUAUGCACCCAGACCCAUCUGCUUCUCUUAUUUGAUUUUGUGGGUUGCACUGAUCUCUCUUAGUACAUGUCUAUUUGCAGAGAAAUUAUUUAUAAUUUAGUCUUAAGGGAAGACUGAUCUAGUACUGGAGGUACAUUUCUAAACAUUGUGCUUUUUUCAUCUGUGGGCACUUCACUGAACGAAUUCUGAUCCUCUAGGUCUAUGAAUUGUAUGUUCUGAUUUAUUUUAAGCCGAAAAUUUUGUCACUGUGUCAUUUAUUACAUACAUCUCUCUGGUUCUUCCCCAAAAACUAAUGUCCUUAUCUGCAUUUUUGGUCAACUUCACAUACACAUACACACACACACAUAUAUAUAUAUAUAUACAUGGUUUUGCCAUCUAGCUAGAAGCUCAUUGGUCAAGCAUGCCACAAAACAAAAAGUUAGGCGGUGCAAUGCAUUUCUCAGAAUUAACAACAGAUAGGAGAGUUGCUAAUUCACUUCUUUGAAUGUGCUAUGGAACCCCUAGCUUGAUUAUUCAUUGGGAAGAAGAGGGCACUACAGUUCUGAUCUGCUAUACUUUUUAGAGACUUUCGAUUUCCUACCUUGGUGCAUGAUGUCUACAUGAAUAUUUUUAUGGAAAGUCUUCUACCGUCAAGCCGCAUGUCGGCGCCUUCGAUGUAGAGUUGAUUAUAUUGUCUAUUCUACUGCAAGUAGGGAAAGGUGGCUCCGCGUAUCCAUAUCCUUAGGUGUUAAUGUAGUUCUAGGACAUAUAGUAUAUGACUGAGUUCUUUCACCUCCUAAUCCCGGGAGUAAUUCAAUUCAAUACUUAGGCAUCCACACUCCUGCUUGAUCUAUGUCCGAGCUCCCUCCUUUGCAUAGCUAAAUCUGUUGGUGACUUACCGGACUAAACGGAAUCGCUAAGUUGAUGUUCCAUGGAAUUGCUAACCACCUCUCAAAGGUUUAAAGUUUGAUCUCUUUGUUAUUGAUCUAAGAUUGAAAUGGGUUCUGCAGCUCUGAUGUGAUAAUAUUUGUAACAAACAAUGACAAAAUCUACACCGUGCACAGACAAUUACUUUGAUGGUUGGGGAAAAUGUAGUCAUUAGUGCCUCUCUUUAAAUUGUACAUGUUGUAAUAUAGAAAAAUUAGAGAAACAUCUUGAGUACCAUGCCCAGGUACAGUGUUACUUACAUUUCAUAUCCCUUAGAUGAGAAUAAUCGAAUGUAUGAAUAUAUGUAUCUUUAGUAGUCAUUUGAUACCUUUUUCUCCAUGUGGAGAGUCCAAUUUGUGAUAUUCAUCAAUGGAACCAAAACAUGUCCACUUUUGCUUCCUAUUUCAAACUGAUAGUGCUUCAUUGAUGGCCUACAACAGUAUUUUGUUCCAAUAAAAACAUAACUCCUAAUGUCUCAGUUGGUAGUCCCCGUUCCAUAGUUGAUGGCCUUUUCCUCCUCUCUCUGAGCGAAAAGAGCCCAUGGGGCAGCAGCGUGAGGGCACUGGCGACGGUCCAUUGGGUGGCGGUGCGGUGCUCGCCGGUGGAUAUAUUACUGUAAAUGCUUAAACUUUUUAGCCUGUAGUGCUUCCUAAUCAUAAUACUUUAGUAUACUUUUUGGCUCCUAUUGAGUUAACAUGCUACAUCUGUACAUCUGCCUUUGGGUGGUUUUCCCUUUCCUUACAUAUAUUUAGUUCUGUAUUUCCAAGCUAUUGUAUCUUACUAGACUGAGUGGUUGGGUACGCAUCCCUUUGUUUAGGACAAUUACAGCAAUGAAGUAGGAGGAAGAAGGAAUGCACGCGAGCUCGUGAAAGUCACAACAGCAAAGAUCCACAGAAGUCAGAGGAGGAACCAUGAAUUUUGAACAAGCAUUAGUUUGUGGCUCAUGGACGAAGAUUGCAAGUACUACUUUGUAACUAAUUUAGCUAAUCGCUCACCAAGUAGGUGAUUUAGCUAAUCGCUCAGUAAUUAAUCUUUAAUCUGAAGUUGUAUAUUCACUCUAGGACAAUAGUGAUACGUCUUCUUCAUAUCUAUAAUUUUUGAUGUUCCAUGUCAAUAUUAUUUAACUUUCA